ensembl:lncRNA
UAGCAGUCCUAUGAGAGUAUCUUGGCUGGCGCGCUAGGUUUUUGUCCCUAUCCUAUUCGCCAUCCAUUCUGUUCCGUGCUACUAUUUUUAUGGCUCUAACAAGGUUCCGGGCAAGGUGUGCAGGAGGGCUGCAGGUGCAUCGUGGGAAAUGGAUGGCCUCAUCAUGACUGGAGCCCCCUGUGGAGCGUGAGAGGUGUUGCCCCAAGGAGCAGUGGCAGCUGUGGAAGGUCAAAGAAGCGUGAGGAGACACAGGGAGGGAUUCACUGAUCCAUGGAUUUAUUCACAGCGGCGCUCUUAUCGGCGUGACCAAUUUGAAUGCUCUCCACGGUCUUAAGAGAGUGAAUGAAGUGGAGGUCUGAGGAUGUGCACUAACUGUGUGCGUACUGCAGUCCCUCCGAGCUCAGAGAAUUCAGAAGAUGCUUCGCUAACCACUGGUGAAACUGAAACAGAUGUGCUUUACAACCCAGCAGGCCCGGAUGAUCAGCCUGUCAAUACAAGGAGGACGUGUUUGUUACUAUCAACAGACAGGCAGACAAAAAAGAGACAGCGUUUCUUUAAAAAAAAAAAAAUUUAGAUCACGCAAAUAAUGCACUAAUAGUCAAGGAUUGACCUAAUUUUUAUUGCUGUUUUGUGUGUUUACUUUCAGGAACAGAAAUACAGCAUCUAAAUGCUAAAAAUGCAUAGCAGAUGAGGUGAAUUAAUGCAUUUUUGAGUUAAAAUAUGCCUACACUGAGUAAUAACUAGUCCCUAUUGCCCUCUUCCCAG